CUUCCUUCCUUCCUUCCUUCCGUGGUGCUGGGGAUUGAACCUGGGACCGCAGAGCCUCAGGCAGGGAAGUCGUCUUGCAGAACCCUGAUGCUGUCUCCCCAGCCCUGAAAUUCUUUAUUCUGUGGAGACUCUUUGGGAAGCGAUUCAGUUAAAACGUCAGGCCAGCUCUGGGUGUUGGCUAAUUGUGCACGUGCUAGAACCACACAUUCCAGGGCACAAGGACCCCGGUUCAAGCCCCUGGUCCCCACCCACGGGGGGCUGCAGGCAUCUCUCUCCCUCUUUGUUUUUCUGCCUUUGGCUUCACUCCUGCGUGCAAUGCAGGUGACAGGAGUUAGGAACUUGCAAACACAAAACCCUUGAUAACCGAGUUGCGUCCUGGGAUCAUAAAAACUAGGGUGGUUAUGGGCUGGGGGCACAGAACUGUGGUGAGAGGUACAGUGGCCCACAAAUACUACUUAUGGGUGUGAAAAUAUUCUUGAAAUCUUACAGUUUUGUAUAACAUGGUUAAAUCACGAAUAGAAACACACAAAGAAGUUUGUUGUUGUUGUUGUUGUUGUU